rnacentral:rRNA from 1 species
UACAGAGGGUGCUAGCGUUGUUCGGAAUCAUUGGGCGUAAAGGGCGUGUAGGCGGUUUGCUAAGUCAUGUGUGAAAUCCCUCGGCUUAACCGGGGAACGACGCAUGAAACUGGCAAGCUAGAGUACCAAAGAGGGGGGUGGAAUUCCGGGUGUAGCGGUGGAAUGCGUAGAGAUCCGGAAGAACACCGGUGGCGAAGGCGGUUGGCUGGGCCACAACUGACACUGAUGCGCGACAGCGUGGGGAGCAAACAGG